UUCUGGACUGACACUGACACUGAGGUGCGAAAGCGUGGGUAGCAAACAGGAUUAGAUACCCUGGUAGUCCACGCCGUAAACGAUGUCGACCAGCCGUUGGGUGCCUAGCGCACUUUGUGGCGAAGUUAACGCGAUAAGUCGACCGCCUGGGGAGUACGGCCGCAAGGUUAAAACUCAAAUGAAUUGACGGGGGCCCGCACAAGCGGUGGAGCAUGUGGUUUAAUUCGAUGCAACGCGAAGAACCUUACCUACUCUUGACAUCCUGCGAACUUGUGGGAGAUCACUUGGUGCCUUCGGGAGCGCAGAGACAGGUGCUGCAUGGCUGUCGUCAGCUCGUGUUGUGAAAUGUUGGGUUAAGUCCCGUAACGAGCGCAACCCUUGUCCUUAUUUGCCAGCGGGUAAUGCCGGGAACUCUAAGGAGACUGCCGGUGACAAACCGGAGGAAGGUGGGGACGACGUCAAGUCAUCAUGGCCCUUACGAGUAGGGCUACACACGUGCUACAAUGGCCGGUACAAAGGGUUGCGAGCUCGCGAGAGUCAGCUAAUCCCGAAAAGCCGGUCUCAGUCCGGAUCGGAGUCUGCAACUCGACUCCGUGAAGUCGGAAUCGCUAGUAAUCGUGAAUCAGAAUGUCACGGUGAAUACGUUCCCGGGCCUUGUACACACCGCCCGU
rnacentral:rRNA from 1 species